CGCGAUGCCACGGGCUCGCGAGCGCAGCGCCCGCCCGAAGGAGCGGCUCCUCGCUCGCACGGUGCCGGGCUCCUCGCUGCGCCCCGCGCCGGGCCGGGCCGGGCCGCGGCUGACACGCAGCGGCUUUACUGAGUUUCAUUUACCCAGGAGUAGAGUACGUUUGAAACCCCUCUUUCACGUCCUUUAAAGGCUGCCCUCGCACCUGCCCUCGCGGUCGCCUCUCACGCAGCGCACUGCAACGGGGGACCCGUUCUGAGGGGACUGAGGGUGCCGGGCAGCGCCCGCGGCCCCGAGGCAGAAGUUGACGCGGCGAGCGCCCCGCGAGAAGCAAACAGCUGAACCGAGGAACGGCCGCGGCCUCAUUGCUCCCGUAGCUGCAGCCACAACCCCCACGCGCUCAUUUUGCAGCAGCCUCCUGAGGUGGUAAGCGCCAUGACUGUACCGAACCCCGGUCUCUACGAAGCAAGGAUGCCUUACAUAGAAAGAGACCCUGCUUCUCUGUAAGAUGACUAUACACGGGGCUGACUUCAGCACUUGGCAGUCUUUAGGGUGGAGUAACAACACGUUAAUGUCCUUCUGGAGAGGAUAAUGAAGAGCAUAGUAGAGGACUGCCUGAAGAAGGUGAUCCAAACAGUGACAACAGAGCUAGGCCACUGGAAAACAGCAAGAAAAGGAAGCCUCAUUGGGAACUUGGAAAGAACUGAAAUAGCAGCAUGCUGUGCAUUCAUUUACUGAGAAUGAGAUUGUGAUCAUAUCCUACAAGAAGUACCUGUAAAGAAUUUUCUUCCAAUUGCAGAACAAAUUACAGGGGAUAACAGCAGAUCCAUAGCAUGAAACGACAAGCAGACUGUCACUUGCAGAUAGAGGAUCCUCUGUUUCUGUGAUGAAAAUCUCAAGUCUACAUCAGCAGUGUAUUACGCUAUUUAUUUUGUCCCAUUCCUGCAGCUCUUCCUAAUGCUGUGCAUGUAACCACAACUGAAAGCACUUCUGGCAGCUGCAGUUCUCUGCAGCUCUCCAUUAGAUUUAAUUCUCUCUUCUGACUUCUAAACACCUUCAAAUGGCAUUGCACACAACUGCACAAGAUGCUGCUAAGAUCCCUUUUCCCCCUUCUGCUUUAGCAAUAUGCCUGAACUUUUUCUUUGCCCACUUUUGUUUAACACUCACCUCUGCUGUCUGCUACUCAGCUGUGCACCCACAUGCUCAUUUAAUUCCAGCUUCCUCUGAAACUGCCAGGCUGCUCUUCACUACACUGCCUUCCUCUAACAGAGAGCCACUCAGCUGUUAGCAAUCCAGAUCUCACAGUCUGUGAUCAAACCUGACUGCCACAGUGAUGUCAAUUUCAGCCUGUUCCACACACAGAACUGCUUUCACGAGAAGGAAUUAAUAGAACAAAUAUUUGGAUCAGUAAAUGAGUAUCAUGAGAUUACCCUACAGUUUUCUUUUCCUGUUUACUCUAUUUUUCAGUAACGGCUUAAAAACCGAUAUUCAAUAAUAUAAUUCAUGGAGAGAUGUAUAAUUUACUUACUGAAAAAGUGCCACUGCAGGUCUAACUUGCUUUACAAAAAUAUUCGUCAAUCCUUGCAGUCAUUCCAGGAAAAUACAGACAAUUCCCUUUAGCAGCUUCUUGUCUCCUUAUAAAACUGUUGUUUUCGCCUUUUCAGUCAGACAGAUGGAAGUUUUAGCACUUGCAAUUCCUUGCUACCUCCCCUUUGGGUACGUGUUGCUGUACUCACUGCAUCAUCUCUCCCGUCUCUGAAUAUUUUAAAGAAAGUUGGUUUACAAGUUAAAUCUUGAGAAAGGUGAGAGCAGAAACUGGUAUUUCAACUUUUGUUCCCAGCCACAUGCUGUGGAAGUAAUGUAAUACUUGAAACACAGAUAGAUGUUAAGUGUCACUGUGUAAUGUUUGUCCAGGUUAGCGUGCAGCCAGUGUAUUGCACUGUGGCUAUCAUGAGAAACACCUGAAAAAAAGAAAUAAAAACACAUCAUUAAUGAAAGGGAUUUCCCACAUCUUACAGUGGCACUUACAGGCAAAUCACCAGUUAGCUCUGUCAACUUCUGUUAAAAUGAAGCACUAAAUUAUCUAAGUAUUUUAUGUUCUAAAACAUUCUAAUUCAAAUAAAGACGACUUACAAAAUUCUGUUUGUAACUCAAUACAUGCUUUCCAUUGGGCUAGAGAGUUUCUUGUUAUUGCUCUUUAAAAUGUAACCACUGAAGUUGUGAAGCACAACAGAAGUAUUCCAAACUACAGCCAUUAUCACUUCUUUUUUUUUUUUUGGCAUAAUGGGGUAACAGCAGAGCCAGAAUUGCCAGAAAGAUGGAAAAAACAGCAAUGUAUAUGAUUGAUUACACAGAUGUGUUUCACAAACUUUUCUUCUCUGUUGCUGGGAAAGAAAUGUUAGCCAGUAAAAUGGGAGUAAUAACCAACCAAGAGCAUAUGGUGAGCUUAUGGAGGAGGAAGAUGCUCACAGGAGUCCUGUCAAGGUCAAGCAUUCAGCAGGAGACACGCUCCUCUGCUUCCUUUCCUAGCCCCCCACUGCAGCGUUCCCUUCCCACGGGCACACACAGCACCAUGCUUUCUCCUGCUCCCCUGCCUGACCUACAGCACAGCUGUGCCUGGCGCAGGGGGACAUUGUGAGGGACAGGAACUGCUGGUUCGCACGGCUUCAGGAAGCGACGUGUCUGUCCAGUGAUCAUGUGCAUAGGAGAGGCUGCACGUAUUCAGUGCUGCUGGUUCCAAAUAUGAUGCAACUCCACGUCUUAAAGUCAGAUUGCUCCUCAUUAAAAACAAUUUCCUAGUGCUAAUUAUGAAAUUAAUUUCCAGCCAUGCUUUACUGUGAUACCAUUGCUGAAUAACGUAACCUCCUAACUCAGAACACCUGCAUAGGCCUUUCACUUUCCAUUCCCCUUGGCAAAAAAAAAAGUCACAUUUCUUGUCAAACACUUGUUAAUCUAUUAUUUUGUAGCAGAAAUGAGAAGUUGUAAAGACUAAGUAUUUUCCACUAUGCCUGCAUAACAUUUAAUAUCUGUCAGAAAGCAUAUACCCCAUUCAUCUUAUUAAAGGUGUGUUUUUUCCUUGCUCGUUAUACAUAUCUAUUUGUAUCUCUCUGUUUAACUGUGAAGAAAUAAAUGAAAACUGAAGCAGUGUGUGUCAUUUUACAACAGAGCUGA